UACGUAGGGUGCAAGCGUUGUCCGGAAUUAUUGGGCGUAAAGAGCUCGUAGGCGGUCUGUCGCGUCCGCUGUGAAAACUCGGGGCUUAACCCCGGGACUGCAGUGGGUACGGGCAGACUAGAGUUCGGUAGGGGAGUCUGGAAUUCCCGGUGUAGCGGUGAAAUGCGCAGAUAUCGGGAAGAACACCUAUGGCGAAGGCAGCUCUCUGGGACGGUACUGACGCUGAGACGCGAAAGCGUGGGGAGCGAACAGG
rnacentral:rRNA from 1 species